UACGUAGGGUCCGAGCGUUGUCCGGAAUUACUGGGCGUAAAGAGCUCGUAGGUGGUUUGUCGCGUUGUUCGUGAAAACUCACAGCUCAACUGUGGGCGUGCGGGCGAUACGGGCAGACUAGAGUACUGCAGGGAGACUGGAAUUCCUGGUGUAGCGGUGGAAUGCGCAGAUAUCAGGAGGAACACCGGUGGCGAAGGCGGGUCUCUGGGCAACUACUGACGCUGAGGAGCGAAAGCGUGGGGAGCAAACAGG
rnacentral:rRNA from 1 species